UAGGUCUCUGCAAAAUUGAAAAAAGAUGUAUAGAGACUGACGCCUGCCCGGUGCUGCAAGUAUAAUAGAAUAAGUGUAAGCUUUGACUAAAAACCUCAGUAAACGGCGGCUGUAACUCUGACGGUCCAAAGGUAGCGAAAUUCCUUGGCAUUUAAUUGGUGUCCUGCAUGAAUGGCGUAACGACUGUCCUACUGUCUCCAACGUAAUCUUAGUGAAAUUGAAUUCUCCGUGAAGAUGCGGAGUUCUUGUGGCUAGACGGAAAGACCCCGUGCACCUUUACUAUAGUUAUACAUUGUAAUAAGAAUUUUUAUGUGUAGAAUAUGUGGCUAGUUUUUAAAAAGUAUUUACGUCAGUAAAUAACUUAAAACGAAAGUGAAAUACCACUCUUAAAACUUUUUAUUACUUAAUUAAUUAAGACAUUGUAUAAUGGGUAGUUUGACUGGGGCGGUCGCCUCCCAAAGAGUAACGGAGGCGCCCAAAGGUUCCCUCAGAAUGGUUGGAAAUCAUUCGUAGAGUGUAAAGGUAUAAGAGAGCUU
rnacentral:rRNA from 12 species